rnacentral:lncRNA from 1 species
CUGAGGCCAGCAGUUAGGGCACAGCCUGGACAACACAGAAGAUUUUAUCUCAAAACAAAAAUCAAAACCCAAAUGAGCAAUAGCAUCAGACUAUCAUUAAAAGGAUACAAUAAAACGGUGUGGGUUUUGUUUGUUUGUUUGUUUGGGGAUGUUAUGAAGCCCAAGCUGGCCUCAACCUUUGUUCUUUCUGCCUUCACCUCCCAAGUGCUGGGAUUACAGACGCGCUCAUGUUGACUCAUGGCUGGAGUUUCCUCUUUCUUUCUUUCUUUCUUUCUUUCUUUCUUUCUUUCUUUCUUUCUUUCUUUUUUUUUUUUUUUGACACAGAAUCUUAUGUAGCCCAGGAUAGCCUAGAACAUUUGUGUGUGUGUGUGUGUGAUUUAGUGUGGAGGAUGACCGUGAAUUCCCCCCUCACCUAAUGCUAUGAUUUCAGGCACCACCUACCAUCACACCUGUUUUGUUUUAUUUUUUAAUGUGGUGCUGGAGACUCAAACCUAGGGCUUCAUUCACACCAAGCAAGUACUCUACCAACUGAGCCACACCCCACCCAGCUCAGCGGCUUGAUUACAUAUCCUAGGGUUGGUCAAAGAUGAUUGCUCUGGGCUAUGAUUCAGACAUGCUCUCAGAGACCUCACCAGCUCCUGAUGUCAUCCCUGAAAAUGGGUCCUGAUGUGGCCUUUGUAUGAGAGACUAGGCAAGAAGCAGGACAUCUCUUGCCACCAUAGAGCUAGAAGGUCCAUAUCAACCCAACCCAGCCUAAUCAUACCAAGACUUGAAGGACUGACACAAUGGUGGAGAUAUCCGGACAGACGCCUUCAGUUCUCCGUCAAAACCCAAAGGACCUAUUUCCUCCGUGGCUGCUGGCAGGCUGUCAGACCGCACGAGGAUUACCUCCGUGGAAAAGAAUUCGAUCCCCUAAGGACAAGCCCGGCUACUGGAGAAGUCUGAAUCCGGACGCUGGCUGCUGUAAGACAUCAGACACGAUACUUACUUAGUUCAUCCGAGUUUCAGAUAGACGAUGAUACAAGUGUGCGGUAAAGCCGGGGUCACCUGCUAAAAGUUACUCACUGUUUAAAUAAAGCUCAG